CACAAUGGGCGAAAGCCUGAUGCAGCAACGCCGCGUGAGCGAUGAAGGCCUUCGGGUCGUAAAGCUCUGUCCUCAAGGAAGAUAAUGACGGUACUUGAGGAGGAAGCCCCGGCUAACUACGUGCCAGCAGCCGCGGUAAUACGUAGGGGGCUAGCGUUAUCCGGAAUUACUGGGCGUAAAGGGUGCGUAGGUGGUUUCUUAAGUCAGAGGUGAAAGGCUACGGCUCAACCGUAGUAAGCCUUUGAAACUGGGAAACUUGAGUGCAGGAGAGGAGAGUGGAAUUCCUAGUGUAGCGGUGAAAUGCGUAGAUAUUAGGAGGAACACCAGUUGCGAAGGCGGCUCUCUGGACUGUAACUGACACUGAGGCACGAAAGCGUGGGGAGCAAACAGGAUUAGAUACCCUGGUAGUCCACGCCGUAAACGAUGAGUACUAGCUGUCGGAGGUUACCCCCUUCGGUGGCGCAGCUAACGCAUUAAGUACUCCGCCUGGGAAGUACGCUCGCAAGAGUG
rnacentral:rRNA from 1 species